rnacentral:rRNA from 1 species
CCCUUAGAUGUUCUGGGCCGCACGCGCGCUACACUGAUGCAUUCAACGAGUCUAAAACCUGCUCUGAUAGGGGUGGGUAAUCUUUUGAAUAUGUGUCGUGAUGGGGAUAGAUCGUUGCAAUUCUCGAUCUUCAACGAGGAAUUCCUAGUAAACGCAGUUCAUCAGACUGCAUUGAUUACGUCCCUGCCCUUUGUACACACCGCCCGUCGCACCUACCGAUUGAAUGGUCCGGUGAGAAUUUUGGAUUGAUGUUUCGUCGGGUUAACGCCAGACUUUACGUUGAGAAGUUAUUCAAACCUUACCAUUUAGAGGAAGGUGAAGUCGUAACA